GAAAUGAUUAUAUUCCCAGUAAAAGAAGUAGGAGAGCUCAGAGUGGCUGCAAGAACUGGUACAGCCCAUUUGAUAGAGCAAGUUCGGCAUCUUGAUUCAUUCUUAUAAUGAAGACAAGCAAGCUAAUCCUCGCGAUGUUCCUCGUUGUCUUGCUCGCUCCUGAAGGGGACACAUGGCGGCGAAGGCGAGCUAAACCACCCUGUACGGGCUGUAUCUGGUCCGCGUGGUCCGGAUGGUCGGCUUGUACUCCUCGCGGCACGGCAGGGACCAUGGUCCGGACACGUCAGCCAAUUUUUGGGACGCAAUACUGUGGCCGGUUCUGUUACGGAGCAACCACAGAAUCUAAGAGCUGCCAAGUGAAUUGCUGAAAUAAGGAUGUGCUUACUACGAAAACGUCUUCGGUGAUUGGCAUUAUAUCUAGAACUAGGAAAUUAGAGAAAUACUGUUUUCAGUUCGGUUUGAAUAAACGUUGAGACGGUGUCCUAGUCUGUAAUUAACAAA